CAAGUCGAGCGACAGAUAAGGAGCUUGCUCCUUUGACGUUAGCGGCGGACGGGUGAGUAACACGUGGAUAACCUACCUAUAAGACUGGGAUAACUUCGGGAAACCGGAGCUAAUACCGGAUAACAUAUUGAACCGCAUGGUUCAAUAGUGAAAGGCGGCUUUGCUGUCACUUAUAGAUGGAUCCGCGCCGUAUUAGCUAGUUGGUAAGGUAACGGCUUACCAAGGCAACGAUACGUAGCCGACCUGAGAGGGUGAUCGGCCACACUGGAACUGAAACACGGUCCAGACUCCUACGGGAGGCAGCAGUAGGGAAUCUUCCGCAAUGGGGGAAAGCCUGACGGAGCAACGCCGCGUGAGUGAUGAAGGUCUUCGGAUCGUAAAACUCUGUUAUCAGGGAAGAACAAAUGUGUAAGUAACUGUGCACAUCUUGACGGUACCUGAUCAGAAAGCCACGGCUAACUACGUGCCAGCAGCCGCGGUAAUACGUAGGUGGCAAGCGUUAUCCGGAAUUAUUGGGCGUAAAGCGCGCGUAGGCGGUUUUUUAAGUCUGAUGUGAAAGCCCACGGCUCAACCGUGGAGGGUCAUUGGAAACUGGAAAACUUGAGUGCAGAAGAGGAAAGUGGAAUUYCAUGUGUAGCGGUGAAAUGCGCAGAGAUAUGGAGGAACACCAGUGGCGAAGGCGACUUUCUGGUCUGUAACUGACGCUGAUGUGCGAAAGCGUGGGGAUCAAACAGGAUUAGAUACCCUGGUAGUCCACGCCGUAAACGAUGAGUGCUAAGUGUUAGGGGGUUUCCGCYCCCUUAGUGCUGCAGCUAACGCAUUAAGCACUCCGCCUGGGGAGUACGACCGCAAGGUUGAAACUCAAASGAAUUGACGGGGACCCGCACAAGCGGUGGAGCAUGUGGUUUAAUUCGAAGCAACGCGAAGAACCUUACCAAAUCUUGACAUCCUUUGACCGCUCUAGAGAUAGAGUCUUCCCCUUCGGGGGACAAAGUGACAGGUGGUGCAUGGUUGUCGUCAGCUCGUGUCGUGAGAUGUUGGGUUAAGUCCCGCAACGAGCGCAACCCUUAAGCUUAGUUGCCAUCAUUAAGUUGGGCACUCUAAGUUGACUGCCGGUGACAAACCGGAGGAAGGUGGGGAUGACGUCAAAUCAUCAUGCCCCUUAUGAUUUGGGUUACACACGUGCUACAAUGGACAAUACAAAGGGCAGCUAAACCGCGAGGUCAAGCAAAUCCCAUAAAGUUGUUCUCAGUUCGGAUUGUAGUCUGCAACUCGACUACAUGAAGCUGGAAUCGCUAGUAAUCGUAGAUCAGCAUGCUACGGUGAAUACGUUCCCGGGUCUUGUACACACCGCCCGUCACACCACGAGAGUUUGUAACACCCGAAGCCGGUGGAGUAACCAU
rnacentral:rRNA from 1 species